ensembl:lncRNA
GAAAGAGUUCCCACUGCGACGGGCAGCCAGCUUCAAGGAGUGGUAGAGCAGAAACCGAAGUCUAACUGAGCUAAUGUCUUGUUUGAGCUGAUGGAGGUUGGUGGCACAGAGAACACGUCGUGGCAGCACAGUUUGCAGAAAGCCCAGGGUAUAUACCAGUGCAGAGGCACCAGAUCUGUGAGAUGUUAUUCCAGGACUUUUUUGCCUUCAUUAGUUUUCAACAGUUGGUGCCUGGCCACCGCUGGAGCUGAGACGCCAGGUGGGUCUGCUACAGGAUUACAUACUGCCUUACAGUAUGGCAAGGAAUCUCACAGCAGAGGAAUGAAAGCUUCAAAGCUUCAGGACAAAACAGGCAUCAGGACACACUUUUCCAUCAUGCAAAAUUCUCAAAGUUCUCUCCAGUCCUAAAAUGAGGCAUCUCAGCUGGACAGAAGAUAACAAGAUUGUCUUACUUCGGUGGACACUUAUCAUUUGAGGGAAAUGAUUUCAGGUGUGCUCCUUGGGAAACAUUGGCCUGG